CCAUCUGCAUGGUCCAAAGGCAUAUCACUACCUGAGAGAUACUCUGCACAUUCACCUGCCACAUCCCAGUUCAUUGCAAAGGUGGCUGAGCUCUCUUGAUGCCAGACCUGGUCUCAAUAAAAUGAUGUUGGACAUGCUGGAAAGACGGCGUCAGGAAGAUGAGGCAUACAGCCCAAUUAGAAGCAUAACUGGCAGUAUCAAUUGGAAGUACAUAGUUCAGCUGAACAAUGUCCAAAAGAAAAGUGGACUACAUGCUGCCAACCGAGUCACAGAUAAGCAUGUGAACUUUGCUAAUCAGAAGAUGAAGGUCUCCCUGGCUGCUCAGACUUUGAGUAACUCUGUGGCAGUGGCGCUCCGCACCUUGCAGGACGUGGGCUAUGCAGAGUUCAAAGAUUGUGAGGCUACUUCUGAAUUAAUUAAGUCUUCUGUGUCUUCUGCAUCGAAUUCAGAUGCUCUGUCCUCCUGUCUGCAUCAAGUUCAUAAGAUGCUCUGUCCUGUAAGAUGUUCUGUCCUGUCUGCAUCGAGUUCAUGAGAUGCUCUUUUCUGUUCAUGUAUUGCACGGUCUGCAUGUUACGUUGUGAAUUGAUUGAAGAAGGCUUUAGUGUCCUAAAACUAAUUUUAAGGAUCCUAAACCUUACACAGAUUAUACUUUAAGGUCAGGGAUGCAAACUAGUCAGCUUUAACCCCCCCCCCCCCCCCCCAAAUGUGGCAAUGAAGUGAAUUGUUUGAAAUGUGGAUUUGUGUCUGCCCUGAGAAGUGCUGCUCUGGGAGCAUUCACUAUUUUCACCCUAUACUGUUAGUUUGCUUCCCUGCUUUCUUGUGUCCUGUUUUGGCAGAAUCAUCAUAGUAAUACAAUAUUUGCUUUUGAAGGUUCCUCUCUGUCCUGGGCUUCGUCAUAAACAUUGACACGUUGACGUCUAUGGUUCCUGUGCUACUUGAAGGACAGCGAUAUGUCCUGACCUACAGAUUCAGCCAGGACCAUUUGGAACUUCUCUUUAACUCCAUCAGAGCAUCCGGUAGGUUUCAAAAUGUAUUUUUACCAGCCGCAACACUAAGUGACAAAGUUUCAGCAAAUGCUUGGAUUGUAUUCAGUUUUUCGGUCCAUAUGUUUUUGUUUUUUUUCCAUUUUUGGUAAAACAUUUUAAAGCAUAUAUUGAAUAUCUGUGUAAUAUACUCGUAUAUCUUGUGUUUUUUUAAGGUGGCUGGAAUAACAACCCUAAUGCCGGCCAGUUCAAAUACAUCUUAAGAAAGCUGAUGGCCCAGUGUGGAGUUGUUAAACCAUGCGGAGGCAAUGUGACUGCACAGGAUGAGACAGAGUCCCUAUCAGCGGUAAUCGACACCUCUACAAGCCUGUCAGCUGUAGAUAUGUCCUCUCUAGCAGGAGGAGAAGAUCUUCCAUCCCCGUUUGCUGACAUUCCUGCCCUAGUACAUGACCACAGCUACCUUCCCGUCCGCUACGAUGGUCUUGUGGACAACGCUCUCGUGUACAUUUCAGGUAAAGGCUGACUGAAAGUCGAUAU
ensembl:lncRNA